GUCUAAACUUGCGUUAGCGAUUGUAGUGGUUAGCUUUUGGCGAGGCGAGCAUCGAGCCAAAACUAGUAACGGAAAGCGUGACCCUUG
rfam:Algibacter lectus DNA, contig: contig00002, strain: JCM 19300.